rnacentral:misc_RNA from 1 species
GAUUUGAGUUGUUGGUAUUGAGGACCAGAUUUCUUACAUCAUCAGGAAUUAGGAAAAGAAAUUUCAGCUUUGAGGUUCGCAAGGCAUUCAGUAGGAAGACCAAGGAAGGUGUUCAUGAAAACAUCAUCAAUUGGUUGGAUAGUUGCUACCCCAACCAAUCUGCAUUUCCCUUCUCUAUCCAACCUUUCUCCUUGUCCGCUGCGUAUCACUCCAUUUGAUUCUUCUGAUGUCAAUACUGUUUUCACAAG